rnacentral:rRNA from 1 species
AUUGAACGCUGGCGGCAGGCCUAACACAUGCAAGUCGAACGGUAACAGGAAGCAGCUUGCUGCUUUGCUGCCGAGUGGCGGACGGGUGAGUAAUGUCUGGGAAACUGCCUGAUGGAGGGGGAUAACUACUGGAAACGGUAGCUAAUACCGCAUAACGUCGCAAGACCAAAGAGGGGGACCUUCGGGCCUCUUGCCAUCGGAUGUGCCCAGAUGGGAUUAGCUAGUAGGUGGGGUAACGGCUCACCUAGGCGACGAUCCCUAGCUGGUCUGAGAGGAUGACCAGCCACACUGGAACUGAGACACGGUCCAGACUCCUACGGGAGGCAGCAGUGGGGAAUAUUGCACAAUGGGCGCAAGCCUGAUGCAGCCAUGCCGCGUGUAUGAAGAAGGCCUUCGGGUUGUAAAGUACUUUCAGCGGGGAGGAAGGGAGUAAAGUUAAUACCUUUGCUCAUUGACGUUACCCGCAGAAGAAGCACCGGCUAACUCCGUG